AAAAAUGUUACCUAAGACUGAUAAAUUUCCAAAUUCUUGAGUGAUUUGUUUUUUGAGUUGUAGACCGUUCAUGCCAGGCAUGUAAUAAUCUGUGAUUAUAAGAUCUAUAUUAUCUCGUUGAUUUUUUAGAGUAGAUAAUGCUUUCUUCGGAUAGUCUACAGCUAUAACCGUGAUCUCUAUAACCGAUGGAUUUAAAAUCAUUU
rnacentral:sRNA from 1 species